CUAAGUAUUUAGUUUACUUAUUUAGUAGCGUAACUUGCUUUUCUUUGCUUUAACAUGCGAUACCAACCACUGUAGCUAUAAAAAAAUUAAGACGCGUUUCAAUCCGCUUGCAGGGCCUAUCGGAACAACCAAGGAGGGUUACGCGUAUUUUCAAAGAACAGGAUCCGGUUGAAUUUAUUCUAGUUUACUGAGAUGGUGAUUGAUUUUUGUUUGAAACUUGAACUUUUCUGCUGCGGCGGCUUGUGUCAGUCGGUGAAAGGGACGCUAGUCAGUUUGUCGCAGUAUUCAGUGUCG